AACGAACGCUGGCGGCAUGCCUAACACAUGCAAGUCGAACGAAGGCUUCGGCCUUAGUGGCGCACGGGUGCGUAACGCGUGGGAAUCUGCCCCCCGGUUCGGAAUAACAGUUAGAAAUGACUGCUAAUACCGGAUGAUGACUUCGGUCCAAAGAUUUAUCGCCGAGGGAUGAGCACGCGUAAGAUUAGGAAGUUGGUGGGGUAAAGGACUACCAAGCCGACGAUCUUUAGCUGGUGUGAGAGGAUGAUCAGCCAAACUGGGGCUGAGACACGGCCCAGACUCCUGCGGGAGGCAGCAGUGGGGAAUAUUGGACAAGGGGCGAAAGCCUGAUACAGCAAUGCCGCGUGAGUGAUGAAGGCCUUAGGGUUGUAAAGCUCUUUUACCAGGGAUGAUAAUGACAGUACCUGGAGAAUAAGCUCCGGCUAACUCCGUGCCAGCCGCCGCCGUAA
rnacentral:rRNA from 1 species